AUAUCAAUAAGCGGAGGAAAAGAAACCAACAGGGAUUGCCUUAGUAACGGCGAGUGAAGCGGCAAGUGCUCAAAUUUGAAAUCCGGCUCUUUUUUGGGUCUGAAUUGUAAUUUGCAGAGGAAACUUUGGUGCGGCCUCGGUCUAAGUUCCUUGGAACAGGACAUCACAGAGGGUGAGAAUCCCGUAUGUGGCCACAGGCUCUCAACCAUGUAAAGUUCUUUCAACGAGUCGAGUUGUUUGGGAAUGCAGCUCUAAAUGGGAGGUAAAUUUCUUCUAAAGCUAAAUAUUGGCCAGAGACCGAUAGCGAACAAGUAGAGUGAUCGAAAGAUGAAAAGCACUUUGGAAAGAGAGUUAAAUAGUAUGUGAAAUUGUUGAAAGGGAAGCGCUUGCAAUCAGACUUGUUUUUAGGAGUUCAACUUGGCUUUUGUCUUGUGUAUUCUUCUAUUUGCAGGCCAGCAUCAGUUUGGGUGGUAGGAUAAAGAUCUUUGGAAUGUAGCUUCUCUCUUUCGGGAUUGAAGUGUUAUAGCCUUGGAUGUCAUACUAUCAAUCUAGACUGAGGAACGCGCCUUUUGGUACGGAUGCUGGCGUAAUGGUUGUAAGCGG
rnacentral:rRNA from 1 species